rnacentral:tRNA from 1 species
GCAUCGGUUGGUCAGUGGUAGAAUUUUUGCCUUCGAUAUCAAGAGACCAGGGUUUGAUUCCCAGCCAAUGCG